GGUUCUCAACCCCUUUCUGGAGUGGUUGUCUCCCCAGGGGUGGGGGUGGGGCUGCAGCCAAGGGCCUGAGGCCAGGGACGCCGCCAAACAUCCCACAACACACAGUGCGGCCCCCGCCAGAAAGAACAGCCAGCCCAAAUGUCAAUGGUGUGGUUGGGAAACGCCACUCUACUGGAAAGAUGAAUGUUCCAGAAUGUUCCAGAAACACAGACUGGCCUCCUAUCACCCGGAGACUGCUUGGCCUCGUGACCCCAGGAGUUGGCAGUCCCGGCUCCCCGAGCGCAAGCCUUUUCAGGAGGCGCUCAGAGUGACGAGGCGAUUCAGCUGUUACCUGCACAGACGUCCCUGAAAGCCCAAGACAAAGCUGAGUCUCCCGGCCAACCUCACAUUUGCUGACCCUGCGCUCAAGGACCACAGGCCUCGAGGGGUGGCUCUUGAACUGGGAGGAUUUAAACCACAUAAGGAAAGUAUUAAACCCAAAGAAUGCAAUCAUCUUGUCCCAUUGGAGACACCCCGUCGAUAUUUGUACGCAGAUAAAUCAUGCGUUGGCCAGAAGGAUGGGUAAGGGUGGGAAGCAACGAUAAAUCAUCGUGUAUUUCUCCUUAACCCUUGUGUUCUUGAGCAAACUGUCUCCCCAGGCUCUGUCACCAGCAUUGGCAGCUGAGGCAGCAAAUCCCAGCCUUCUUUCCAGGGCUUCUGUGUAAGCUCUGCUGGAACUUCUAAAUGCCCGGGUGUGCAACCCUGAUCACAGGACAGCUGCUCUGAGGCUCCGUGUCCUCAUCUGUGAGACGGGGAUCAGCCCUUCGGCUCGGCGACCUCAUGCCUGCAAGAGUCCGCUCCACAGGCCUGUCCAAAUACGCGACUGUGGGGCCGAAGGCCCUGGUCUGUAAGCAACGGGGAUGCGUUCGCAGGAUGGAGGCUGCUGAGAAAACACGUUGUACCUAGAAAAAGUUGGCCUCGAGGGCCUGGGAGAUGGAGUCCAGACCCACUUCCUGUCCUGAGUGGGUCCCUUGCAUCCUCUGCUCCUGAUGGUCACAGCUUUCAAAUAAAAAGACU